CUCAAAAUGGCGGCCGCGACGGCCGUUGAGUGAGAGGCACGGAGAAGGGGGGCCUGGCCGGGGAGGGCGCUGCCCUCGCUCGCGUCCUCCCGGCCCGGGAUCGGGGGCUGCCGGGACCGCCACGACUCCGCCCGCGGUCUUCCCAGACAGGGGAUCGCCCUCCUCCGCGGUGACUUAGCAGGAAAAGUAUUCUUGGGUAGGAAGGGCGUGGGGAGCAGGUUGCUCUCUGAUCUUGGGGAAAGGGCUCGGCCCUCCUUCUCUCCCCGGCCGCGGAGGCGAGCUCCGCAGUCCCCACCCCUCCGCGGCUGUAGGCUCGGGGCCCAGGCUUAGGCACCUACCGGGCCUUCCAGGCGUUCCGUCCCCCACCUGUCCUUAGGAUGGGGUUGACCUGAGGAGGAUGGACCGCCGCCUCCCAGUCUCCCCCCUCCCCCACACCGAUGCAGUGGUCCAGCCUCUGCGGCCCGGCCCCUCUGUUCCAAACAAUCUGCAGCAUCCACCCACCAAAUCGGGCAGGGUUUUCUUUUCUGCCACCGGCUCCUCGGACGGGAGUUGCCUUUUGACGUUGUUAACACUGAGCUUCGAGGGCCUCUGCCAUUUCCCUUCCUCUCAUCUCAUCUCCCCUUUGCUUUAGGAAAUGCAGUGCCUGUAUCUAUUUACCCUCUAGCCUUCCAGGUGAGAAAAUGCCUUUGAGGUGGUGGCAGGUUUUGACUCUUCCUCUCUAAAACAUCACAUUGGAGAGGAGGAUAUUUUCAGUAUUUGAGAUAGGGGAGAACAAGGUGCCCGGCUUUAUUUGUUUUUCUGUCUUUCUUCAGUGACUUAGCAAGAAACUCCUUGAGAGAAGGGCAGGAAAUUUUCCUUUCAGGUUGGGGUUUGAGUCCAGUUCAUACCAAUCCUUUAGUUAAGAAAUUGUGCUUUUGGAGAGAAGGACCAGAUUUGUAAUCUUGUUCUCAAUGGGCGAUGUCAUGCCAAGGACUCCCCCCCUUUCCUUAAGAGGCUCUCAGGAGAAAAUAAAGAUAACUCCUGUUAUUCCAGCCUUUACUUUGAGCACACAGUCCUUAAGACUCAUAACAUUUUAAAGGCUAAACAAAAUAUUUGUGCCAUUUUUGGCAAUUCUAUUUUUUUUGGGGGUGGAUUGUUUUGUGUGAAUUUCUUUUUGAGGCUAGGGCGGAGGAGACAGUGCUUGGGCCGCUUAUACAGUAAUAUUGUCAUCCCUCCCCUUUUGCCACAGUAGUAUUUGCUUAAUUCUCCCCACCCCCAGCAGAGCUUAAUUGCUGCAGGGUUCAAUCCCUUAAUGGGGAAUAUUUUCUACUUGUGUAUGUUGGUAGUGAUAUAAGGUUGAAGAUGUUAAAAGCUUUCACGUAAAAAUUUUGGUUUGGUAUUAAGACAUUAGACAUCUUUUAAUUUCCAAUGAGGUUCUUUCAGAACAGUUUUGCAAAAUAAUUGGCAGGUGCAAAUUGAGGUUUUUAUUAAAGCAAAAGAGUAAUUUAUGGGGCGAUUUAUUCUAUUAUAAAUGAUCAUUGGAUUGUUAAGAAGGGACCUCCUAAAACAAAUUUAAGCUAGUAUAUUUUUUGAGAUCAGAGAAAGGAACCCAAUUUUUUACAUGAAAAAUUUCUGAAUAUGUUGAUUUUGAUGGAGCAAUCUCUAUUUUGGUACCUUCUCCCACCUCUUUUUAAAAAAUGGGCUAAUAUUUGUGUAUGCUGUGAACAGCCAUUGAGCCAAGAAGACUGGGUGGAGUAAGAGAACAGGAGCUGUGAAAUGCCAGAUUGCCCUUUCAUAGCAUUUUUCUCUUCUAUGUUUUAUAAGGUUGAUACUAAUUGUUGCUUCAACAAAGGCAUUUCUCUAUAGUAAAUCUUAAAAUCUCAUGUUUUCCAUAUUUUUUGCAAUAUGGGCAUUGAAUAAUUGGAAGAAAAUACAAUAUCCCUGCACUAAAGCAGACUUAUUGUCUAUUAGUGUAUAUAUGUAAAAUACAUAAACACACAUAUAUACUCUUGUUAAUUUUUUUAUUGUUCUAGUCAAAUAAGUAUAAAUUAAUGAGUUAUAAAAAUAACUGGCAAGAAAUAGUUGGUAUUCUGCAAACAAAUCUGAUAAGAAUAGUACAAAUGUUUUCUUUUACUUUAGCUUGCACUAAAACAGUCAUCUGUCUUUGAGUUUUAAAAAAUGAACAUGAAAAAUGAGGGGGGGGAAGGAUAAAAUAACUUGCAUUAUAGGCUCUUUACAUGGAUCUUUUUCUCUUGUGUCACCCCUUGAAAGGGACUUUUUUGUGAGAUACUACCAUAAGAGAGGAUAGGUCACUUUAACAUCUUGAAUGGAGCAUUCAUAAGUAGACAUUUUUAAAAAACAAUUUCAAAUUAAAGAGAUAAAUAUGAUUUUGAUGAGCUUUGUAAUUGUUUUGUCAACUUAUAUGUUUUUACAUUUUUCUUCUCUUUAAUGUGAUUAGAAAGUGGAAGGGUUAAUAUAGUAAGGAAUGAGUAGGUUGGGAAUGAUUAUUCACUCUAUUGUGUGUCUAACCUAUCCCCAUCUCUACUAUUUGUAAUUAUAAAAGCACAAGGUGUCAAUUUUUCAGUGAUCAGGAUCUUCAGAUAAUUUGGUGUGUGUGUAUGGUUCUGAUACAUGUGUCAGAAUAUUUUGCUUAAUUUGGAGAUCAAUUUUUUAAAAUUUUCACAAUCUUAUAAAUAUAAAACUUUUAAUGAGCUUGGGAUGAAUUUUAUUUUUAGUGGAGUUUUUGGAAUCUGCUUUAAAUUUUCUAAUAUAUAGAUAUUUCCAGGUAAAAUACCUCUUUAGUGUAUAUUUAGUGGAAAUAUUCUGGGAAGGAAAUCAGUAUCUCAAAAUUUUUGGUGUUCUGGCUUAGAAUAUUCUUGUUGCUUUGUCUAUAUUUUAAAAAAGAAAGGAAUAAGUGUUUUCCUUUUGGUUAUAUACUAAGGUGUGCGCACACGCUCACACACACACACACACACACAUAUAUAUAUAUAUAUACACACACACAUACAUACAUAUAUGUAUGUGAAUGUGAUUCACAACUUGUUGUCUUGAUAAAUAAGCCACAGAAAAUGUAGAAGUUGUCAACAUUAAGAUGGAGAUGUCUUAAAAAACAAAUCCAAAGCAAAAUAUUAGGCAGAAGGAUUUUUCCAAUUUAUAUCAUUGAGCUCUAAAGCAGUGAGUCAUGCAUGCUUUUGCCAAAGGAACUUGAGGCUCAAGUUGAUUUUUUUGCUCUUUUUUGGGGGCAGGGGGUACUGGCGUUGAACUCCGGGGCAUUUUGACCACUGAGCCACAUCCCCACCCCUGUUUUGUAUUUUAUUGAAACAGGAUCUCACUGAGUUGCUUAGCACCUCGCUUUUGCUGGGACUGGCUUUGAACUUGCAAUCCUCCUGCCUCAGUCUCUCAAGCCACUGGGAUUACAGGCAUGUGCCACUGCGCCUAGCUGAUGCUCACAUUGAUUUUAAAUCUGAUCAUGUCUGCUUGUGGUCCUGAUUAUAAUAUAGUUUUGUUUUUUUUAAAGUUCUAGGGAUAAAACCCAGGGCCCACUAGGCAAGUGGUGUAAGAUUUAGUUAUACUCUACAGACUGAGAUGUUUUACUUGCUUUUAAGUCUCUUUUAUGAAAAUAAUUCAUUAUGAAGGUAACCUGUUUCUAUGUACUUUGGAAAGAGAGAAUUAUGUUUGAAUUGGAAAUUUUUUGCCACUGUUAUUUCUUCUACAAUUGUUACUGUAUUUUUUCUUUUUUUAACUGGAAAAGUUGCUCUAUUUAAAAUAAAACUAAUGAGUAUACAAUAUGAAUACUGAAGCAAAAAAAGCAAAUCUGCUGUUCUCCUGAAGAUCAUUAACUAUAAAGUGAACCUUAGUUGUUGAAGUCUAAGCAUGUUGAGAAAUCUGCAUUUCAUGAAGAAAGAUGCUGUAUUAUGUAACCCAAUAGUUAACUGCAGAGAAGGCUUUUUGGAUUGUUCUAGCUUUGUUGCUGGUUUGGUACGACAUUUAAAUGAAACCUUAGUUUAACUUCUGCUAUGUGUAUAAUUUUUAUACUCAGCAUGGCAGUUACAGACUUUAAUUGAUAUUUGUGCUUUAUACUUAUUGAUGCAUGUAUCAUAUAUGCUUAUUAUUUUGAUUUAUUGUUUUGUGUUUAAAAGAUAGUGGCUUUUGGUUGAAGUAGUUAGGACUAAUCUGCAUUUAUCAAGGAUACUUCUGGAAAGGUAUUAUCAUUUAACAUUAUCAGAAAUAUUUCUCAAAAGCUUCAUAAAUAUAGAACCUGGUCCUCAUUAUCAUUUGUUCUCUCAAUUAUUUUUAAGUUUGAUUGAUAAUUUUUUUAAGAGAGAGAGAGAGAAUUUUUUUUAAUAUUUAUUUUUUUUAGUUUUUGGCGGACACAACAUCUGUGGUUUUUUUUGUAUGUGGUGUUGAGGAUCGAACCCGGGCCGCACGCAUGCCAGGGGAGCGCACUACCGCUUGAGCCACCUCCCCAGCCCAGAUUGAUACUUUUAUGGAUGAGAGAACUAAAAUUCUGGUAAUAUUAUAGUCAUUGUACUACUUGGAUAUUGGCAUAUAUUUCCUUUUCUAACUAUAAAUUCCUUAUCUUUUAAAAUUUAUUUUCUAAAAUAAUGACAAUCUGGUCUUUGUUGCCUGCAGCAUUUAAAUUGGUGUUUAAUAACAUGAUCUUAUAUUGUUGACUGUUCUGCAUAUAUAAGGCCUUAGGCAUUUGAGCAGGAACUGCCAGAAAGUGCCUAAUACUGCUUUUAAAGGUAGUAUUGAUAAGUUGUUAAUAACUUGUUAUUUGAUUGAAGUAUUAAUAACUUGUUGCAUUUGAUUGAAUGCAGUAUUAUGUGAAAAGAAAUGUGCUGGGGCUAGAGGUGUAUAGUUCAGCCGUACAUCACUUGCCUAGCAUGUCCUAGGCUGUGGGUUAGAUCCCCAGCAAUCUCAGGGUGGGAGUAGAGGUUGGAAAGUUCUAUACUAUAGUACUGUGACCCAUCCAGAAUUAAGGGGAUGGAGGUGUGGAGAGGGGCAAGUGUUUUUAGUUCCUCUGCAGAGGUUUUAUGUUGUCCAAUGGGAACAGGAUCACAUGUCAACAAAAUUUUUAACUAUAAAAAAGCGAAUUAAUGCCACUGGACAAACUACAUACGCAUUUUGAUAAUUGCUUUAGGGGCUCUUUAUGUUGACAAGAGUGGGUAAUUGAGGCUAUUAAGCAAUGUUCUGUCUUUCCAUAGUAGUGAAAUUAAGAAUCUGGGAAAUUAUUUUUAAGAAUUUUAAUGUGUAUGUGGAGGUGCUGGGAUUGAAUCCAAGGCCUUGCACUUCAUAUAUGUGCUUUAUCACUGAGGUGUACCUCCAGCCUUAAUAAUUUUUAAUUUUUGAAAGCAUUAUAGAAAGUUUUAUUUAUUAAGAUUUCAUACAUUGUGGAUUAAUCUGGUUUUAACUUAUGGCAAAGAUACAAGAAUAUGUUUUAUGAUACUAGUGUUUUGUAUGUAUGAAGCAUAUCUUUCUUUUUUCUUUUUUUUUCUUUUUAUUUGCAGUACUGGCAGUUGAACCCAGGGCCUCCCACAUGAAGUGUUCUAUAACUGAGCUACAUCCUAUCUAUUUUUCUCUCUCCUCCUCCUCCUUCUCCUUUUUCUUUUCUUUCUUUCUUUUUUUUUUAAACCAGGGAUUGUACCAGGGGUACUUAACCUCUGAGCUACAUCCCCAUCGACUUUUACUUUUUAUUUUUUGAGACAGGGUCUUGCCAAGUUGCCCAUGCCAUAAUAAACUGAUGAGGCUGGCUUCGAAUUUGUGAUCCUCCUGUCUCAGCCUCCUGAGCCGCUGGGAUUACAGGCCUGUGCUACCUCACCCAGCAUAUUUCCAUAUUUUUAUUAAAAAUAUGUGGACUAUAAGCUGGGUAUGAUGGUGCAUGCCUAUAAAUCCCAGUGGCUCAGCCUUCUGAGGAGCUGGCCUGUAGGCAUGUGCCACUGUUCCUGGCUAGAAUUAUUUUUGUUUGAGAAUUUAGUCAUCAAUGUAAAAAGCCUCUAUACUCCUUUAUGUAUGUAUGUACGUAUGUAUGUGUUUGUAUGUGCUACUGAGGUUCAUAGUCAGGACCUUGUGCAUGCUAGGCAAAUGCUCUACUGCUGAGCUACAUCCCCAGCUUUCCCCCUUUUUUAAAAAAAAUAAUUUUAUUUUUGAAAAAUUUUAGAUAUAUUGAAAAGUUGUAGAGGUAGUUCGGAGAAUUUUCCAAUAUACUCUGCACCCAGUUUUCUUUAAUGGUAAUAUCUUCAAUUUCUGUGGUACAAUUGUAGAAAUUAAGAAACUAACCUUGGAGGUGGGCACUAUGGCACACACCUGUCAUCUCAGUUAAUCAGGAAUCUGAGGCAGGGGGAUCACAAGUUCCAGGCCAGCCUGGGCAACUUUGCAAGACCAUCUUAAAAUAAAAGUGUUGGGGGUGUAUUGAGUGGUAGAGCACUUGCCUAGCAUAGCAAGUGCAAGGCCCUAGACUCAACACCCAGUACUUGAAAAAAGAAAAGAACCUUGGUAUAUUACUACUAGCUAAACUUCAGACUAUUUGGAUCACCAAUUUUCAUUUAAUGUCUUCUUUCUGUUCUAGAUCCAUUUCAAGGUGUACUACAUUGCAUUUGGUUAUCAUGUGUCCCUAGUCUUUCUGGUCUGUGAUUUUCAGUUUUGUUUUUUGUGAACUUGGUAGGCAUGAGUAGUACUGGUCAGAUGCCCUGAAGAAUAUUCUCCAAACUGGGUUUGUCAUAUGUUUUUUAUGAUUUAGAAUGAGUAUGUGGGUUUUCAGUAAGAAAAUAUCACAGAGGUGAACUGUACUUCUCAUCACAUAUCAGAGGCUGUGUGAUACCUACAGAUAUCACUGCUGAUGUUAAACUUCAUCACUUAGUUAAUGUGGUAGUUGCUAGGUUUCUCUACUGUAAAGUUGUUCUUUUUCCUUUCCUUAGUUCAUCCUUUAGGAAGUAAGUUAGGUUACAACUUCUGGAUGGGGGGGGUAUAUAUUACUUAGUAAGGCAGAUCUUUCUGUCUCCUCUCCCCUUAUUAAAACAAGCUCCUUACCCCCACCUGCCCUGGCCUGGUAGUGGGGAUUGAAUCCAGGGAAGUGCUACCACUGAGCUUUUUUUUUUGGGGGGGGGUGGCAACAGGGUCUUGCAAAGUUGCCCAGGCUGGCCUGGACCUUGCAAUCCUUGUGCCUUGUAUCUCCUGAGUUGGGAUUACAGGCAUGUACCACCUUGACUAGCUUUCAUUUUAUAUUUUGAGACAGGGUUUCCCUACAUUGCUGAGGCUGACCUUGAAUUUGAUAUCCUCCUGCCUCAGCCUUGCUUGUUGCUAUUGUUACAGGUAUGCUCUUCCACUCCUGGCUAGAAUCUUACUAUAAAAACAACUGGUUAAAAAGAAAAGAAGCCAGUGUGGUGCACACCUGUAGUCCCAGUGGCUGGGGAGGCUGAGACAGGAGGAUCGAGAGUUCAGAGUCAGCCUUAGCAAUGGUGAGGUGGUAAGCAACUCAGUGAGACCCUGUCUCUAAAUAAAAUACAAAAUAGAUUUGCUCAGUGGUUGAGUGCCCCUGAGUUCAAUCCCUGAUAGGAAAAAAAGAAAGAAAGAAAGAAAAAAGCAAACGAAAAAACUACUGAUAGGUUCAUGACUUGAAAGAGAUGCUUAUUUUAUGUUAAGGAGAAUUUGUAAUUUGGAGGCAAGACAGUUCUUGAGAAUUGAAGUUGUUAUAUUUCUUGCAGUUGUUUUUCUAUUUGUCUUCCAUUGUAACACUUGUAUAGAGAACCUCACUUGGUUUUUACUUUUUAAAACAUUAUUCAACACCAUUACGUUUUUGUUUCCCUUCUAAAUUUUUAUCAUUCUCUUCAGCAAACAGUUAUUUUUCUAUAUGAUAUACUAAAGACAAGGGAUACAAACAUGAUUGUUAGCUUCUUCCCUCAAAGAUUUUAAAGUUUAUAAACAUAUAAAGGUGAUAAAAUCAAAAUAUGUAUUUGAUGGUAUGAGGGCUUAGCGCUUUUAAGUAAGGUUUUACAAAGAUGUUGGUUGAACAUUUUUGAAGAAAGCCUAUUAUAUUUUGGGGGGUUAUUGGGGAGAAUAUUGUUCAUAUGGAGAACGUAGUCUGUACUUAAAGAACAAAUUGGUGAGCAAGAGAGAUGCUUCACAUAGUUCAGUAUGGCUGAAAUGAUGGAUAAAGGUGGAGGAGUGACUACCUACUCUUAUCUGGCAUAUAGAACAAGGUGGUAAUAGAUUCUGCAUUGGAAUUAUCUGAUGAAAAUGUAGACUUCCAGCUCCAUCUUAGACUUAGCCAGUCAGAAUUCCAUAAGGUUACACCAGGCAUAUCUGCAUUUUUAAUAAGUUAUAUAGUUGAUUGUUUUUGAGAAUCAGUGCUUUUGCCCUGGUGGUACUGGUAGAGAAUAGUAAGUUGUAAUAUUGACUUCAUUAGAUUUGCUUUUUAGAAAGGUAACUGUCAGCAUUGUGGAAAAUGCAACAGUGGAACUUAGUAGACUAAUACUAUUUAAGUGGGAGUACAGAUUGAAAGAAUAAACUUGAGAACGUUUCAUAUGUAAAAUUGGAUGUGGGCAAUGAGGGAGGUGAGAAAUGAGGAAAGUAAUGAGUUGAAUUUUUUUGGUGGUGGGUAGUUGAGCUAUCAAGUAGAUGUGGGUAUUAUUAUUAUUUAAAAUACUUCUUUUAGUUGUAGUUGGACACAAACCUUUAUUUUACUUAUUUAUUUUUAUGUGGUUCUGAGGAUCGGACCCAGUGCCUCACACAUGCUAGGCAAGCGCUCUGUCACUUAGCCACAACUCCAGUCCAGUGGUGGAAGGAUUUUAAUAGAAAAAUCUUUAGAUUCUAUAAAGCUGUAGCCAUCAUUACGUUAUACUUAUUCAAGAAUCAUCUUACAACUGGAUUGGAUUUUGUCCCUGGACUUCUAAAACUUGUCUUUAAGGAGCUAAUAUGGCCAGCUUUAGUAAUUUAGUGAGACCCUAUCUCAAAAUAAGAAAGAAAAAGGACUGGGGAGGGGGUGUAGCUCAGUGGUAGAGUUCCCCUAGGUUCACUCCCCCGUACUGGGGGGAAAAAUAGACCAAAUAUAGGGAUUUUUUUGUUGCUGUUUAUGUGUGUAUGUGUUUUAGUAUUAGGGAUUGAACCCAGGGGUACUAAGUCCUUUUUUGUGUUUUUAUUUAGAGACAGGGUCUCACUGAGUUGCCUAGGGUCUAAUUAAGUUGCUGACCCUGGGUUUGAGCUCUGGAUCCUCUUGCCUCAGCUUCGCCAGCUGCUGGGAUUACAGGUGUGCGCCACUGUGCCCAGCUGUUUGUGUGUGGUUUAUUUAUUUAUUUACUUAUUUAUUUUUAUUAUUUUAAAAAAUAUUUAUCUUUUAGUUGUAGUUGGACACAAUACCUUUAUUUCACUUAUUUAUUUUUUAUGUGGUGCUGAGGAUCGAACCCAGGGUCUCGCGAGUGCGAGGUGAGCACUCUUCCACUGAGCCACAACCCCAGUCCCGUUUGUGUGUGUUUAAAUGUAAUAAUCAUUAGAUGUACUGAAGACAUGAAUGCUAAAACAUUUGGUGUUUCACAAGUUUAAAUAGUGUACUUAACUACAAUUUUUAUUAUUGCUUAGUAACUUUUAGUUAGCUUUUUCACUGCUACAACCAAAACACCCAACAAGAACAACUCAGAGGAGGAAAAUUUUACGUGAGGCUCAUGGUUUCAGAGAUCGCAGUCUUAUAAAUGGUGGAACCAUUGCUUUGGACUCAGGGUGAGGCAGCACAUAAUGGGGGAAGGGCCCAGCAGAGGAAUGUUGCUCCCCUUAUGGCAGCAAGGAGGCAGAGAGAAGGGGAAAGGGGCUGUGUGGAAGAUAUAUCAUUCCAGGGUACUCCCUCAGUGACCCACUUCCUUCAGGCAUGAUCUAUCUGCCUGUAGUUACCACCCAGUCAUUCAAAGUAGGAUGGGCUAAUCAGAUUUCAGCUCUCAUAAUCUAAUCACUUACCUCUGAAAAUUCCUGCAUUAACAGGAGCUUUGGGGGAGGAUUUAUGGACUAUAACCUUACAGAUAAAUUAAAAUGGAUUCUUUCAUCAAAAUGUAUUUAGUGUACUCUGUUAGGGAACUGUGCUAUAUAGUACUCAAAGGUGCUGCAGAGGUGACAGAAGAAGUAGAAUCAUAAAAAUUACAAAGUGGGGAGGGCAUACAUUACAAGGGGCUCAUUAUUACUGGAGAAUGAGCAAGGUGAGGCUUGAUUAGAAAUGAAAAUUGAGAGCUGGGGUUGUGGCUCAAUGGUAGAACUCUUGCCUAGCACAUGUGAGGCACUAGGUUCGAUUCUCAGCACCACGUAAAAAAUAAAAUAAAGGGAUUAUGUCCAUUCACAACUAAAAAAAAAAGAAAGAAAGAAAGAAAGAAACUUGAUAUGUAGGCAAAGACCAGAUGCUAAUUGAAGACUUUAAAAGGUGUGAACUUUAGGAAAUAAGGAGGAAGCAUAGUAGGGUGACAUAGUAGUCCAGACUUUGGGGCUUAGGAACUUGGAUUCACUGCUGCUUAUAUAACUGUGUUAUAUUGGACUAGUUAAAUUCUCCUAGCUUGUUGUGAGGAGUUGUAAAACAGUACCUAGUGUAUAGUAAGAGUUAUAUAAAUGUUUGUUGAAUAAAUAAAUAAAUAAAAAUAGGCUGGUGAAGGGUUGUUGUAAGUAGAGAAGUGAUAUUGUCAGAUUGUAUUUUAGGUAGAUGACCAUAGGAUCUAUAUAGUGGAUAGAUGUUAAUAGACCAAGACUGGGUUUAGUGAGACCUGCUGAAAUUAGUGCAUGUAAGAGAUUAUGUGAGGUAUGGUAGUGUGGUAAAGAUAAUACACAAGAAGAGUAAUUCAACAAAUAUUGAGGAGGCAGGACAAUGGAGUUGAUUAGAUAUAGGGGAUGAAAGGAGUUGCAAGGUUGAUUCCCACAUAUGGUAUUACUUAUAACAUUUUAAAAGAAAUAUUCUUUGAAGAACUUUGGAUCUUUGAUGUAAUCUUUGAUAGUGAUAUUUGACAACUAAGGCCUGAGAUAGUUUUUAAUCUCUCUAAUUUAUAGCCCUUGCUACUUUUCUUGUAGGUGGAAGUAAUUUCUCUUUAAGGACAUAGCAUUAUGAUGAAGACUCAUUUGGCCCAAGUCUAAAAAUCCAAAAAGCUUGAAUAAUGGUUCUAUUGUAUUGUGUUUAUAUUUUUAUUUUGAGAAUUGUGAUUAUAAAGAUAAUAGCACCAGGGUAAUACUGUUAAUUUUGAAGUAACUGCUGAAUUAUUAAAGACAUUAAGGGAUUGGGGGUUUAGCUCAGUGGCAGAGUGCUUGCCUAGUAUGCUAAAGCCUUGGGUUUGAUUUUCAUUGCUUAAAAAAGAAAAGAAAAUUUGUUCCAUUGUAUUCAAGUUUUUUCAUUAAAUUUCAAUAUUCUCAUUACCUAUUCACUUGUGGAUAAAUCUUAGCUCCUAACUUUAAAAAGAUAUUUCUCUUACCAUUCAGUUUUGUGGGAAGGGGAAAAAAAUCUUGAUUGAAAUUGGACAAUUUGAGCUUUCUUAAAUUUGCAUUUUCUGUAGAUUCUUAAUAAAAUGAUGAAGUGGAUAGGAAGUCAGUGGACUUUUAGUAUUUAAAAUCUGUAUCUUGAGUUGUGGCAUAUAUUGUAUAUAAUAUCUGUCACUUAGGCUAUUGUGGGGCCCAUCAGAUCUCCUCAUUAAAGACAUUUGAGAGGUGAUAUUUAAACUGAAUCUUGAAGAAUGCAUAAUUGGUAUGGCCAUGGGAGAAGGUCAUUUCAGGUAGCAGGAAUAGCAACACAGGCAGAAAAACAUGCAAAAAUCGUAUGUGCUGGUAAGUAGAUGGGAUUAUAGAAUAUGAGAUUGAAUAGGUACAUGAACCAAAAUUAAACAAAACAAAACAAAACCUUGUACAUUAUGUUCUGUGUAGCUUCUAAGUGAUUUGAAAAUCUUUAAAGUUCAAGCGAAAGCAGACAUCAUUGAAUAUGUGUUGUAGAUAAAUCAUGUGGGUAGCAAUGAGGAACGUAGGUUGAAGUUUGGAGGUUACUUCGACUUUUUCAGGAGAGAAUGAUGAGUGCUUGAAGUAAGAUUGUUGAUGUUGACUGAGAAUGGUUUAGGAUGUAGAAUUGUGAAUGAGUUGUGAAAUGGGAAGACAGAAAUUUAGAUAAUUCAGGUUUAUAUAAUGUGUGGAGAAGCAUAGUAGGGUGACUAAGAGUCCAGACUUUGGGGCUGGAGUGUCUAAGUAGAAUUAAGAAAUUGGGUAUAUUAGCUGUAGAAGAGAGGAAGAGGAGGAGUUGUGUAGGAUAUUACAUAAAGCAGCCUAAAAAUUUUGCUGAACUACAGUUCUCAAGUCACUUUUUUUUCCCCAAAACUUAUCACCAGCUUUUUUUUUUUUAAAAGAGAGCGAGCGAGAGAGAGAAUUUUAAUAUUUAUUUUUUAGUUUUCGGCGGACACAACAUUUGUUUGUAUGUGGUGCUGAGGAUCGAACCCAGGCCGCACGCAUGCCAGGUGAGCGCGCUACCGCUUGAGCCACAUCCCCAGCCCCUUAUCACCAGCUUUUUACUGUCUUUAAUGAGCAUAUGUAUGUGAAAAUGCCAGGGGCAUAAUGGCAAAACAUGGUAUAUUUAAUAGAUGUUAGUUUAAUUCUAAAUGAGUUAAGACAUUCGUGUCUUGGCUUACGUUUUCAGCCUUUUUCUUCUUGCCUGCCAUAUCUCCUGUAAUUCAGCUUUCACUCUAUUCCCUUUCCCUUGUAUAUUCUUCAUAUCUGAAUACCAGAGACUGCUUUUCAAGGCAACCAUUUCUAAUUUUUCCUGCCUGGAAAAAACUUCCUUUUCUUUGUUUCAUGUUAUGCUUCUUUGUUCUAGCUAUGUAAAAUAUUUUAUCUCAUGUAGUAAAUGAGUUAAUGCAUUUAAAGAGACUAGGGACAGUACAUAGUAAGUGCUUAGUAAAUGUUGUUUGUUAUUAUGAUGCUGAUAAAGAUGAUUAAAAUGAAAUGUUGAGCCACGCACAGAAUACCUAUAAUCCCAGCUACUUAAGAGUUCCAGGCCAGCCUCAGCAAUUUAGUGAACCCCUGUCUCAAAAUAAAAAUGUGGAUGGGGAUGUAGCACUCCUGGAUUUUCAAUCCCAAAUAUUGGGGGGUAAGAGGGGAGAGAAAUUAAGAUAAUACUACUAAAGUUUACCUUUACUUUCUACCUUCUUGAGACAGUGAUUUGUUUUCCGUCCCUGGACACUAGAAAAGCAGUGUCUUUGGGUGUGUGUGUAAAAGCAUAAAAAAAAUAUUGUCUUUAUACCACUUUCCUGUUCCUGAGCUAUAUUGAGUAUGUCUGAGGAUAGAGGGUAGACAACCCCUUAAUGUUGAUGGUUUCCCUAAGCCUCACCACAAUUAUUUAGGACAGGUUACUACUAUUAGCCCCUUUUCAUGAAUGGAUGGAUGAACUUUUUAAAAAGUUUGAAGAUUGGCUCAAGGUCACAUAGUUGGUGAGUGGCCAUGAUUUUAGUUGUUACAGCUGCUGAUGCUGGGGAUGAGACCCAUGUCCUCACACAUGUGAGGAAAAUGCUCUACAACUGAGGUACACUCGCAGCUCCCAGAAUAUUUGUAUCUUAAGUAUUAAAUUCUACACAGUAGGGCCUCAAAAAUCUAGGACUUAAUUUCAUCAAUACUUGUACCCAACUCUGCUGGAGAUUAAACCUGGAGCCUGAACUACUGAGCUAGCUGCUCAGACAGACUGACCCUCAUCUUCUUUUCCUUUGUUAGUUCCUUCCUUCUCUCUCUCCCCCAUCACUUCCCCCUCCCUCCCUUUCAUGAUAGUAGGGAUUGAACCUAUGGAAGUCGUACCACUGAGCUACAGCCUCUGGAGUAGCUGGGAUUACAGAGGUGCCACCAUGUCUGCGUGGCUCAUCAGUGCUUUCAUAUGAUUUCCAUAUUCAAUUUGUUACCUGUCAGAGGGCCAGUAAUGGGAACUGUGCUACAUACUUCAGAACUUUUUUUUUUUUAAAGAAAUGAAGCAUUAUUACAGUUACUAUUGAUGUCCCUUUUAUACUUUUUUUCCAAACCUGUUUCCUCCCAGUUUGCCUGUAUCCCAUUGUUUCUUGUUUUUUUUUUUUUUUUGGUACUGAGGAUUGAACCCAGGGGUGCUUAAUCAUUGAGCCCUUUUUAUAUUUUAUUUAGAGACAGAAUCUCACUGAGUUACUAAGUGCCUCACUAAGUUGCUGAGGCUGGUUUUGAACUCAUGAUCCUCCUGCCUUAGCCUCUCAUGUUCCAUGUUUUUAUUGUGUGUGUGUGUGUGUGUGUGUGUGUGUGUGUAUCCAUCCAUAACUACAGUUGGUAAUGCUUUGUAGAUUUUAUGUGUUAUCUUGUUUUUUUCACAACAAUUUUUUUUUUUUUGGUAUGGGGGCAUUCUGUUAACACUGAGCUAUGUCCCCAAAUUUUUUUCUAUUUUGAGACAGGGUCUCACAGAGUUACCCUGCUAAGUUGUUGAGGUUGGCCUCAAACUUUCUAUCCUUCUGUCUCAGCCUCUGGAGUUUGUAGAAUUACAGCAUGCACAACCACACCUGACCACAACAAAAUGUUUUCUAAAUAUGUUCUUGAUAUAUAGGAUCAAGUUUAUUGUGUUGUAUUAUUCAUUAUAUGUGAUUAUGCCCUAAUUUCUUUGUAGUUAGACAAUAGAAUGAGGUAUUUAGAUUAAAACUUUUCACCAUUACAGUGCUACAAUGAACAUAAGAAAGUAAUUCUCAGAUGAGAUUAUAUAAUUCAUUUUUGCAUUGCAGAAUUCAUCCUGAGGUUAAUUUAAUAAAAUGUGAUUUUUAAUAAUUUUUAUCUUUUGAUUGAGGAAAGAGAAUGGACAAUACUUUUGGCACCACUUUUAGACUGUGAAUUCCUAAACUUAGUUCCUUUGUCUUCUGUUUUCUUGACCAUUCAAAUAACCUAUGUUUUUUAGUACUUUAGCCAUAGGCUGCAUACUGGCAACCUAUAGGCCAGACUCAGCUUGUAAAUAUAUUUCUUUUGGACUUGUAUAGUUAAAUUUUUUUUGAACCAACAUUUAGAAGUUAGCUAUUUUGCAUAAAAAUCUACUUUUGGAUUAUUCUAAAAAUCUGGAAACAAUAAUAGUCCCAAACUGAAUCACAGUUACUCUAUUUUAGAUGAGAAUAACCUUUUCAGUGAAACAAACUUCUGUCAUUCCCUGAUGCUUUUUUUUAAUAUAUAUGUUUUAGUUGUCAACAGGCCUUUAUUUUUUAUUUAUUUAUAUGUGGUGCAGAGCAUCAAACCCAGUGCCUCACAUACGCUAGGCAGGUGCUCUGCCGCUGAGUCACAAUCCCAGCUCUUCCUGAUGCUUUUUAUCGUAGUACUUGUACUGUCUAUAGUGAUAAAUAAUUCCCUACUGAUAAUGUCUAUCAAAAAUGAAAAAUAUAUAGCUAGGCAGAUGUAGUAUUCUACUAAAAAGUAGAAGAGAACCUAUUUCUUUGAAAGUGAAAAAUAUUUUAACAUGUAAACAAAAUGAGUCAUGUAUGGAAAGAUUACAGCCUUGCCUCUUUUACUUAAAUUAUAUUUGUCACUUGUAUUUUUCUAUAGACAGUAGUUUAUGAUCUUUGUGUUUUACAUGUGUGGCUAUUGGGCUGCCCCGCAGCAUAGUUGGAGGUUUACAAUAUGAAAACAAUUUGUAAAUCAUGAAGUUCUGUGCACAUGCAAGGUAUUUACCUGUUCUUUUAUCUGUUAUGUCUACCCUUGGUCUAGAAAGGCCUUUAGCAAAAGAAUUAAAAACUUUUAUAAUCUCAGCCAUCCAUCCUGUCAGCACUGUAUGCAUCAACUACUUUGAGACCACAAAUGAGUGGUCCAGGAUUUAGAUUGUAAAUAUGGUUUUGUUUGUCUGACAGCAUAGUAACUUUGGGUUUUGAGUACUGGGUAUUGAACCCAGGGCCUUGCAUAUGCUAAGCACUUAAUGUCACUGAUCUGUACCUCCAGCCCCAAUAAUUUUUUUUUUUUUUUAAUUGAACUUACUUUGAAAACCAGGGCUUUUCCAGUGUAUUUUUUUUUAUAUUGUUGUCCAUGGACCGUUGUUGCUAGGCAAGUGCUCUACCACUGAGCCACAGCUCCAGCCCCUCCAUCGUAUUAUUUCUGAGUCACACCUUUACCUUUUUAGUCUCUAUUUAUAUGUGCCGCCAAAGCAGUCACCCUCGUUAGUCUCUCUAUAUUUGAUUUGUAACCCCUUACUUAAGAUAUAUUAUAAGAUAUAUAAAACUAUAAAAUACUACAGAUUAAAAGUGAAGAGAAAAGAAAGACUAAAAAAAACAAAGGGUAAGGGGAAAUGGAACCAGGAACCAGGAUCUAGACCAAAAAGGUAUUUCAGUUUUCUUCCUAUAAGCAGAUCACUGAUUUUUUUUUUAAUAUUUAUUUUUUAGUUGUAAAUGUGCUGAGAAUUGAACCCAGUGCCUCAUACUUGCUAGGCAAGUACUCUACCCCUGAGCAACAACCCUAGCCCCAAGAGAUCACUGAUUUAAAAAAAAAAAAUUUUUUUUUUAGUUGUAGAUGGACACAAUACCUUUAUUUAUUUAUUUUUUUUAUAUGAUGCUGAGGAUUUAACCCAGUACCUCACACAUGCUAGGCAAGUAAGUACUUCAUCCCUAAGCUUCAGGGAUGACUCUGAGCUUUCUAGGAGCUAACAGGAAGGAGAGGGGGAGGUUAUUUUUCAGUUCCUUAAGAUUAAAACAACAACAAAAAACAGUUCAGAAAGAUAACUAGCCACUUGAUGCUAGAAUUUUCCUUAGGGUUCCUCAUAAAGGGGAUUAUGUUGUAAUUAUAAUUUUUAUUGUUUCUUUUUCAACAUAUCUAAUAUUUCCCAGGCUGGCCUCCAAUUCCUAGGCUCUAGGGUUCCUUAUGCCUCAGCCUCCUGAGUAGGUGGGACUAUAGGCAUGUGCUACUGUGCCCAGCUCAGUUUUUGAUAUGUAUUGAGAUUCCUUCUUGGCACGAUUGUGAAGUAUGGAUGUUAUAUACAUAUUAUACAGACUAUUCAUAUGUAGGAUUUAAAUUCUUUUGUGAAAACCUAGUGGUAUUGCUACCCCCGCCAUACUGGGGAUUGAAUCCAGAGUCUCACACACACUAGACAAGCACUCUACCAUUGAGGUACAUUCUUGUCUUUCUCCUCUAGUUUGAAGGUGUGUAAAACAUAACUCUGAAGUAUCCAAAAGAAAGUAUCCAUUAAGAAAAAGGUUUAAAGAAAAAGAGGGUCAGGAUACAACCUGAUUUUAUGCAGAUGAAAAUGAAUUGCUUUUCCAUGAUUCUGGACUCAUACUGGUUUUCAGCACAGAUUAAAUUUAAGGAGGUACAAUUUUUAUUCAUAUCUGUAAUGGAUAGGCUCUGCCCCUUUUCUCUUCAGUUGUGCUCAGGAUUUACCUUUAUUUAGAAAGAAGUAAGAUUUUUCGUUUUCUCUGAUGUAAGGUGACUGACUCAUAGUGGGGUAGGGAGGUGGGGAGAAUGGGAGGAAGAGACAAACUUUAGAUAGGGUGGAGGGGUGGGAGGGGAAGGGAGGGGGCAGGGAAUUAGCAAUGACAGUGGAAUGUGAUGGACAUCUUUAGCCAAAGUACAUGUAUGAAGACACAAAUUGCUGUGAACAUACUCAAUAUACAACCAGAGAUGUGAAAAAUUGUGCUCUGUAUGUGUAAUAUGAAUUGUAAAGCAUUCUGCUGUCAUUUAUUUAAAAAAAUCAAAUAAAAUUUAAAAAAGAUUUUUCUUUCACCCUACUAGAACUGUAAUUCUUGUUGUCAUUAUUGCUGAACCUCUUGAAUUCAUAUUUUGAAAAAAAAAUUUUUUUAAUUGUAGAUGGACACAGGACCUUUAUUUUAAUCUAUUUUUUAGGUGGUGCUGAGGCUCGAACCCAGUGCCUCACAUAUGCUAGGCAAGCGCUCUACCACUGAGCCAUAACCCCAGCCCCGAAUUCAGAUUUUUUAAAAAUAUGUUUUUAGUUGUUGAUAGACCUUUAUUUAUAUGCUGUGCUGAGAACCCAGUGGCUCACACAUGCCAGGCAAGUGUGCUACUGCUGAGCCAUAGCCCUAGCCCCCGAAUUCAGAUUUUUUAAAAAAAAGUUAAUUUUUUACUUUUUAAAUUUAUUUUUUAUUUUUUUAGUUGUCGGUGGACCUUUGGUUUAUUUAUAUGUGGUGCUGAGAAUCGAACCCAGUGCCUCACACAUGCUAGGCAAGUGUUCUACCAUUGAGCCACAAUCUCAGCACCCCCCCAAAAGGUUUUUUAAUCUUUCAGUUUAUAGUGCUGACUUGGUCAGUCCCUCGGCUUAUAUUAUAUUUCUUUUAUCACCUCCUUUCCCAAUUCACUCUACUAGAUCAUGUGUUCCUUUGGUGGAUUGCAUUUUAUCUUCACUUAUAACUUCAUGGCACAGAUCCUAGCAAGAAAGAUAAUGGUAAUCAGUGAAUGAAUACAUUUAGCUGAUGUCUUUACAUUGUACAUUUUUUAGGACCAGGAUCUCUUUAACAUUACUUUUAAGUUCCAUGUCACUUUCUGUAGAUAAACAUGUUUGUUGACUAUGUUCUAGGCUGCUUGGGACACAUAUAUUUUGUUUAGUUUGAAUGCUGAGUACUUCAUAUAUCCUUGGUAAAUAAAUUGAAAAAAGUGACACUGGUAGUUAUUUCUAAAUUACUUGCUUCAGUGGAAGUGGAUAGUAAAAAACUUGAAGUCAGUUGAGGGAUCACAAUGCCUGUUUUCUGUUGGGUUGUCAUAACUUAUGGGCACAUGUGCUUAAAUGUAAACAGGAGAUUUUCUUUUAAGAACAAGAUUAGAACCUAGAAAAAGCCAUUUCAUGACCAAGAGCAAGCCAAGCAUGGUGGAGCACAUCUGUAAUCCUAGAAGCUCAGGAGGCUUAGACGGGAGGAUCACAAGUUCAAAGUCAACUUCAGCAACUUAGUGAGAUCUUGUCUCAAAAACAAAACAAAACAAAAAACCACAAAAUAAGCUGGGCAUGUGGCUCAGUGGUAAGCGCCCUGAGUUCAAUGCCUGGCACCCCCCCAAAAAAAAAAAAAAAAAAGAUCAAGAACAAGUUGGGUAUGGUGCAUGUAUGUAAUUCUAACUGUUUGGGAGACUGAGGCAGGAGGUUGCAAGUUAAAGAACCUGGGCAACAUAGUAAGAUCUUGUCUCCAAAUAAAAAUAAAAAGGACUGGACUAGCUCAGUGGCAAGAGUGCUUGCCUAGCAUUUUUGAGGCCCUGUGAAAAAAAAUGAGAAGACCAAGAGCAAACAGUGGAAAUGUUAAAAAAAAAAAAUCCAUCUUUAUAUAAUUGCAGUUUGACCAUGAAUCUAUUCAGAUCAUUACUAUUACUUCCAACCUAGUCUAGGCCUCUGUCAGCUACCACCAGCCCCCCUUUCUUUUUUCCUUUUGAUACUGGGGACACAGCAACACUCACAUAACCACAGAGCCACAUCCCUAGCCCUUUCUUUUAGUUUUUAUUUUGAGACAGGGUCUUGCUAAGUUGUUUAGGGUCUUGCUAAGUUGCUGAGGCUGGCCUCAAACUUGUGAUCCUCCUGCCUCAGCCUCCUGAGUCAGCCCUCCUCUUUAAUAUAUCCUGUGCCUUAAUCUCCAGAACAUUUACCAUGAAACACUAAUUUCAGAACAUUCCUCCCUGUGUAAGAAUUUCAGUGAUUUCUGCAUUGUCAUAAUUUCUUUAGCUAUCCACUUUAGAAUGCACCAUUACUUUAUAGUUUAAAAGCAAACAAAACCAGUCCUACCUGUAAUCUCAGAUACUUAGGAGGCCAGGGAAGAGGAUUGCAAAUUUGAGGCCAAUCUUGGCAACUUAGCAAAACCCUAUCUCAAAAUAAAUGAAAAGGGCACCCUUGAGUUCAAUCCCUCGUACCAUAACAAACAAACAAAAACCACAAAACAAGGCACACAGAAACAGUUGUCUCCUGUUGUUUGUAUGAUGCUUGGAAGUGUUUAGUAAGUUUUUUCCCUCAUGUUUUAAACCAGUGAGUUUUUUAAAUUUUAGUUUUUAGUUGUAGAUGGACACAAUACUUUUAUUUUAUUCACUUAUUUUAUUUUUUUUAAUAUUUAUUUUUUAGUUGUAGUUGGACAAUAUUUUAUUUAUUUUAUUUUUAUGUGGUGUUGAGGAUUGAACUCUGGGCCUUGCACAUGCUAGGUGAGCACUCUACCACUGAGCCCCAGCCCCAGCCCUUAUUAAUUUAUUUUUAUGUGGUGCUGAGCAUUGAACCCAAUACCUCACACAUGCUAGGCAAGCGCUGUACCACUGAGCCACAACCCCAGCCCCCAGUAUUUGUUGUUGUUGUUACUUAGUUUUGAUGAAAACAAAACAGAAUUACAGUACCAUUCUAUUGUCACUUGAAAAUGUAGCAUUUGCAGUAUGUAUAUCAACCCCUACCUUCUGUACCCCACCCACUGUCUCCCACCCCCUGGGGAUGGAACCCAGGGCCUUAUGCAUGCUAAAUGAGUACUAUACUUGCCACUGAGCUACAUCUCCAGUCCUAAAAAUGUAACCUUUGUAAGUGGAAACUGGAGCAUAAAAAAGGUCUUAAAUUUUUUUUUUUAAAUAUUUAUUUAUUUAUUUUAAUUCUCGGCGGACACAACAUCUUUGUUUGUAUGUGGUGCUGAGGAUCGAACCCGGGCCGCACGCAUGCCAGGCGAGCGCGCUACCGCUUGAGCCACACCCCCAGCCCCAAGGUCUUAAAUUUUUGAAGUUUUAGUCUGGAGAUAGCUUAUUGAUUUGUGUGGAAGAUUUAAAAAUUGGUAUAUUUUCUUUAACAUAUAUUGAUUAGUGUUACUCUUUAAAAAGAAAAAGAUUACAUCAAAAUCAGCCCCGAACCUGAACCGGGCGCUGGGGUUGCGUGCCUGUAAUCUCAGUGGCUUGGGAGGCUGAGCAAGUUCAAAGCCAGCCUCAGCAAUUUAGGGAGGUCCGAAGCAACUCAAGUGAGACCCUAUCUCUAAAUAAAAUACAAAAGGGCUGGGGAUGUUGCUCAGUCUCAAACUGCUGAGCUUAGGUGAUCCUCCUGCUUUAGCCUCUCAAGUAGGUGGGACUACAGGCUUGUGUUAUCAUGCCUGCUGGAAAAAUGCUUUUUGAAGUUCAGCUUGGCUUCUUUUUUAAAAAUAUAUAUAUAUUAGUUGUCAAUGAACCAUUAUUUUAUUUAUUUAUAUGUGGUGCUGAGACUGGAACCCAGUUAAGUGCCCCUGGGUUCAAUCUCUGGUACAAAAAAUUUAAAAUAAAAUCAGCCCCAAGUAGCUGGACUUUGAUAUAUCUUAUCGCCUACAUUUCAGAAUUUUGGCUUUUUUUUUUUUUUUUUUUUAAUUUUUAUUGUUGGUUGUUCAAAACAUUACAUAGUUCUUGACAUAUCAUAUUUCACACUUUGAUUCAAGUGGGUUAUGAAGCUUUUUUUAUUUUUAAAAAAGAAUGAGAAUAAAGUGAUAAAGUAUCUAUUUUCUGAGAACAGUUUAGUAUUUUUAAAGCUUUAAAUAUAUAUUUUUUUAGUUGUAGAUGGACACAAUACCUUUAUUUCAUUUGUUUAUUUAUUUAUGAUGCUGAGGAUUGAACCCAGUGCCUCAAACAUUCUAGGUAAGCCCUGUACCAACCACUGAGCUACAACCCGAGCCUGAGAAUAGUAAAUUUUGAUCUCAGUUUUACUGUGAUGCUUGCAGUAGUCAUUUAGAAAUACUAGAUACCUACUGAAUACUAAUUAUCAUGAAUUUAUUUUAGAGAUACAAAGAAAAAUAUGUCAGAGUUGCAGCUUUGGAGGAAAGUUGUUGCAGAGACAACAUCACAGCAGAUAAUUACAGUGUAGUGUGAGAAGUGUUAAGUAUGUGUAUGUACAAAGUACUAUGAAAUCACAGAAGAGGGAGUUGCUCUAUUUGCUUAAUUUUUUUUUUGUCAAAACUGUGUUGAAAUGGUAAAUAAAACGCUUAAGUUCUGCUUUAUGUUAGUGGCUGAGAAUUUAUCUAAUACUGUUUAAAUAGGAUUAAUAAGUAUUAGAUUGAAUGUAUGGGAUUGUCAUUGUUGGCAGUUUUCUAGGAUUUAACCCUAGUAGUAUUUAUUUAAAGCUUUGAAUAUUGGAUAAUUAGGCUAUUUAUUUUACUUUAUUUUUUGAAAUAGUGUCUUGCUGUGUUGCCCCAGCUAAUCUCAAACUACUGAGCUUAGGCGAUCCUCCUGCUUUAGCCUCCCAAGAAGGUGGGACUAUAGGCUUGUGUUACCAUGCGUGCUGCAAAAGUGUGUGUGUGUGUGUGUGUGUGUGUAUUGUAGUUGCCAAUGGAGCAUUAUUUUAUUUAUUUAUAUGUGGUGCUGGACUGGAACCCAGUGCCUCACACAUUAGGCAAGUGCUGUAGCAUUGAGCCACAACCCUAGCCUUUGGUUCUGUUUUUAAGGUGACGUGUAUAAAAUAAUUUUAUUAACUGUAAAGUGCAAUGUUAUCAUAAGCUAUUAUAAUUGUUUGUAACUGUGGAAAUAAGUUAUUCAAUUUGGGGAGUCUUGAUUUUGAAGUUUGAUUUCUUAAGACAUUUAUUGAAUGCCAUUCAUGUUGCCUAGCACUACAGAUUCAAAAUUGAAUCCAAUGUAGUGUAUAGUAUGGCCUGUAUAUAGUUACAAUGAAUGUGGGAGGUAGCACAGUGCAGAACCAGUGAUUUUUACAAUGUAUCUUAACAGAAGUAUAUCUCCAAAAAAUGUAUUCAGAAGCCCAGUGUGUAAAUAUAAAAAUGGAAAUCUUGGGGCUGGGGAUAUGGCAGCAGUGGUAGGAUGCUUGCCUGGCAUGUGUGAGGCCCUGGGUUUGAUUCCCAGUACCAGUCUCUGAAGUCUUAGGUAGGUAAUAAGUAGUUUCGCCUAAGAUUCAAGUUAAUAGGGCUGUUGCUCAGAUAAAUUACAGGUACAUACAUUUUCUUUGGAUUUUUGAAAGAGGUAAAAAGGAAAGCUGAGAAAUCAUAAUUGGAUAUUUUUCUACCUUAAGAGUAAAAGAUUUUUCCUUGUUAAUGGAUUAUUAGGCAAAACAUUUCAGUGUUAAAAGCUAAGAAAAUAAAUGGGUAUUAAAAUGGAAGGGAAGCUGGGUGUGUUAGUGCACACCUAUAAUCCUAGCAGCUCAGGAGGCUGAGACAGGAGGAUCGGAAGUUCAAAGCCAGCCUCAGCAAUUUAGUGAGGCCCUAAGUAACAAAAAAUAAAAAGGGCUGGAGCUGGGGCUGGGGCUCAGUGGUUAAGCACCCCUGGGUUCGAUCCCUGGCACCAAAUAUAAAUAAAAAGGAGGAGAUAGAAAACUACAAGUGGAGUGUGUGUGUGUGUGUGUUGUGUGUGUGUGUGUAUGUAUGUAAAAUCCAGUAGCACUUUGUGUGUGUGUGUGUGUGUAUGUAGCACUUACUAUGUAGUAAGUCCUGUCCUAAGCAUUUUUCUUAUAUUUAUUUAAUCUGCUUGACAGUCCUGUGAAAUAGAUACUAUUAUUAUUAAAGUAGCUGUAUUAGAUAUGGGUUUGCACACUGUGGCUAGUAAAUCAAAUCCUGCUUGCCACUUGUUAUUAUUUCAAUUUGGAAAGUUAGCCCAAGCCCUUAUCCAUGGUAGGAAAGUGCUCUAUCUCUGUGCUACAUACCCAGCCCAACCACCUGUUUUUAUAUGGCCUGCAAGCUAAGAAUGGUUUUUAUAAUUUUUAAUGGUUAAAAAGCAUAAAAAGGGAAAUAAUAUUUUGUAAAAUUCUUUUGGUAAAUUAAUAAUUUUAAAAAAUACUUGAAAUUUGAAUUUCAGUCCAUAAAGAUUUAUGGAACAGACGCAAACCUUUUCCUUUAUACAUUGUUUAUCGUUGUUUUCUUACUACAGAGGCAGAAUUGAGUAGUUGCUAAUAGAAACUGGAUAGCCUGCAAAACCUAAGAUACUAUCUAGGUGUUUGGGGACUUGUUGACUCCUGCUUUAAAUAUAAAUGGGAGAGAACACAAGAUAAAAAGCACCAAAGUUAAUAUAGAUGCAAAAAAAUGUGUCUUUAUUAGGAUGACCAAGAAGACUAGAUAGUUACAGAACUAAUAAGCUAGUUACAGUUUCUUAUUAAAGGAUUUUUUUGAAGCCUUAUAAAGCUCAAUUAUAAGGAAAUAUUGCUUAUUAUUUCCAAAAGUUUGCGUGUCAUCUUUUUCUUAAUAUCAUCUGUUCAUGGUAUAUCUGAAGGGUUUUAUAAACAUUUCUUUGAAUUUUAAUGACGUUUGUUGUAAUUACUAUUGAAAUUUCAGUACCAUGGCCUCCUAUUUUGAUUUUUUAUUUGGGUAACUUCUUUGUGGUGUUGGGAAUCAUAUUUAGGGCCUUGCACUUGCUAGGCAAGUACUCUACCGCUGAACUAUGUCCCCAGAUAACAUUUUCUGACUUCGAUGAUUUCUCGAUUUUCCCUUCUCUGUAAUUUUUUUGAUUUUGACCCUUUAGUAUUAGCUAUAAGUGAGAUUGCUGACUUUAUGGUUCUCUAGUGAGGAUAUGCAUCAAAAUCACCUAAAGAAAUAUUAAAAAUUCAUAUGCCUCUUCAGAAACUCUGAGAAUGAAACAUAAUCAUGAUUAUUUUCAGAAAGUUCCCUAGGUAACUCUGAUACACAUUCCUAGUUAAAAUCCACAGUUUAGCAAAAAUCUGAUCUGAAGAAACAACAUAGGUGGCUUUUACUGUUAUUUCCCAGAGGUGUUUUCCAGCCUAAAGAAUUAUUGCCUAAUUUGAUGUAACUGGCAGAGAUUAUCAAUACUGGUUUGGUGAAUUAGCUCUUUUGAUAUCACUCAAUUAGUAGUUUAAUAGAAUCCAAGUUAGAAGUUUGAUUGUAAGUCGUAUAAUUUAUCUACAAUCUCUAAAAUCAUAUUUAAACAACAAAUGUUUGCUUUUUUUCUACAUUCCCUUCCAUUAUUUAUUUAUGGCCAUGUACAUUUGUAUCAUACAGAACAAUUGGUUUGAGAUUUAAAAACAUUAGAAAAAAACUGAACACAACAAAAUCUAAAAUCAGAAUUCAGUUUCUUUGGAAACUUCAGAUGUUUAAAAUGGCUUCAUGCUGCUGAAGUCAGAGAAGAAGGGGGACACUUCUCCUUUUUUGGGAUUAUGAAAAGGUAGUCUUUUGAGCAUCUAUCCACAAAUAAACCUAGCUCUAUUAUUUGUUGCAGGCUGAGAAGCAGUUUUUUACAUUUUGAUACCCCUUAAAGGCGUUAAUUUGCCUGAAGCAGUACCCAGAGAGCAGAGUUUAAGCAGUAUGAAAGUAUUCUUUGCAAGACUUGUGACAGGCUAAAACUAUAUAAAUAAAAGGUCCUGUAUUACACACAGCCAGAGAUAAUAUGCAUGUGUGUGUGUGUGUGUGUGUGUGUGUGUGUGUGUGUGNGUUCCAUUGAGUCCCUCUACUGAUUAAAACAAAAUAAAACUUAAAAAAAAUUUUUUUUAGCUGUUGAUAGACCUUUAUUUUAUUUAUUCAUAUGUGGUGCUGAGAAUCACAUCCAGUGCCUCAUACAUGCCAGGCAAGUGCGCUAGUGCUGAGCCAUAGCCCAGCCCCAAAAUAAAACUUUUAUUAUGGAAAAUGUCACACCCAUAGACAAAAUUAGAAAAUAACGUAAUAAAUUUUCAUAAUUCUUAAAUAUCAUGAGAUAUUUCAUCAGUACUCUAAUUUCCCCAAAUCUUUGUCUAUUGGUUUCUUUAUUUUAUAAUUUGUUUGGGUCUAGAUAUAAAUAUGGUCUAUAUAUCACGAUUUUUAGAUGUGUCAUUUGUCUAUUGUUUUAAAAAAUAUUUUUAAAGUUCUGGAUGGACCUUUAUUUUAUUUAUUUAUAUGUGGUGCUGAAAAUCAACCCAGUGCUUCACACAUGCUGAGCAAGUGAUUUACCACCGAGCCACAAUCCCAGCUCUUCACUUGUCUGCUUUAAAUACAUAGGGCUGGGCUAUGGUAUAACUCAGCAGUAAAGUACAUGAUCCCCAGCACUGAAAAAUCCUUUCCAUCCCUUUUUCUUUCUUUGGAAUUUGAAGAAAUUGGGUCAUUUGCUUUAUAGGGUUUUUCAUAGUCUAGCUUUUGCUGAUUGUAUCCCCAUUGUGUCUUUAACAUAUGUCCGCUCUGCUUCUUGCAGAUUGAUAGUUGAAGGCAGAUGCUUAAUCAGAUUCAGAUUUGAUUUUGUGGCAGUAAUAUUUCAUAGAUGGUAUACUGUUUUUCUUUCACUGUACCAAUAUAAAUAUAGUUAUGUAGGUAUAACUAUAUAUAUCUAGUUAACAGUGUUGGUUAAUUAGCGAGUAAAAAUAGUGAUAUUAAAAAUUUAUCAUUUCUCCCGUGUCCUGUGUCUUUUUCUCUACCAUACUAAUUCAAAGUCAGCUUACUUUUUUUUUUUUUUUUGUGGUGCUGGGGAUUGAACCCAGGGCCUUGUUCAUACAAGGCAAACACUCUACCAACUGAGCCAUAUCCCCACCCCCUCCACCAUUAGUAUUCAACCAUCUAAUUUGGCUGAGAAAAAUAAUUACUUUUCAAUAUUUUCAUCAACUUCUAAAAUUUGUUUAUGGUACCAUCUUUACCCUACCCCUUCCCCUGUUUAAAUAUUGUUUCUGCCAUUUAAAAUAAUUUCCCUGCCAUUAAAAAAAAAAACAAACCUUUAAUUAUUUAUUUUUAUGUGAUGCUGAGGAUUGAACCCAGUGUACCUCAUACAUGCUAGGCAGGCACCCUCCCACUGAGCUAUACCCACAACCCCUCAUUUCUCUGCCAUUUUACUGAAUCAAUUUGUGUUAUUAGUGAGCUCUAUGAUGAAUACAGCCAAUCCACCUUAACCUUAUUUUGCUGGGUAAUUGGAUGGCUUUGGAUACUGUUGAUUGCCUCCCCUGGAAACACUACCUUGGCUUUUGUGACAUUCUCUCCUGAUUCAUUCAUUCAUUCAUUCUGAUUUGUUAUCUUGUAUUUCAAUUCAUAAUACACACAAAGAGCACAGUUUUUAAUGUCUCUGGUUGUACAGAGUCACGCCAUUUGUGUUUUCAUACAUGUACUUGGGGUAAUGAUGUCCAUCUCAUUCCAGUCUCUCUUUAUUUUUUGUGUAACCUUUUUUGUUCUCAGAACCAAUUGAAGAUUCUUUUUAAAAAAAUACAUUUAUUUAUUUAUUUUUUAUGUGGUUCUGAGGAUUGAACCCAGUGCCCCACAUUUGCUAGACAAGUGCUCUACCACUGAGCUACAAACCCCAGCCCAAUUGAAGAUUUUAAAUUUUGUUUUUGUUUUGCAGUGCUGGGGAAUCAUGUACGUUACUGCUGAGUUAUACCAUAGCCCAGCCCUACUUACAAAUUUUUUUUUCCUCGUGGUACUGGGGAUUAAACCUAGGGCUACUUUAUUGAACUACAUCCCCAGCCCUUUUUUAUUUUUUAUUUUGAGAUAAGAUUUCACUGCAUUGCUUAGGGCCAUUCUAAAUUGCUGAGGCUAGCCUUGAACUUGUACUCCUCCUGCCUUAGCCUCCUAAAUAUCUGGGAUUACAGGCGUGUGCCUCCUUACCCAGACAAAAAGUUUUUUGUUUUUGUUUUUUCCUGUCUGCCUGCCUGCCUGCCUGCCUUCUUUCCUUCUUCCUAUAUUUUUGUUUGGUGACACUGGGGAUUGGACCCAGGGCGCCAGCUACAUCCUAGCCCUAAUUGUAGAUAAGAUCUUAAGUAUUGGUGUUGCUGUCCCUGGUUCUAGGCUUGACCCUCUGCUCAACUUGCUCUGCAAAUUCUUCCUAGGUCAUCUCAACCAUUGCUAUGUCUCCAUUUACCACAUCUAAGUAAAAAUUGUCAAACCAUUUUAUUUUAGGUCAGUUCUCUUCAGAACUGGCUUGUUUGUACACCUUCCUAGUGGAAACUUCAGCUUUUAUUUUACUUGGAGGAUGAUUUCCUUUGGGGGGGAUGUGCUGUGGAUUGAACCCAGGGAUGCUUUACCACUGAGCCAUAUCCCCAGCCUUUUUAUUUAUUUAUUUAAUUUAAUUUAUUUUUUUUUUGAGAGAGAGAGAGAAUUUUAAUAUUUAUUUUUUAGUUUUCGGCGGAUACAACAUUUUUGUUUGUGGUGCUGAGGAUCGAACCCGGGCCGCACGCAUGCCUGGCAAGUGCACUACCGCUUGAGCCACAUCCCCAGCCCCCUUUUUAUUUUUUAUUUUGAGUCAGGGUCUCACCACGUUGCUCAGGACUUGGCUGCUCUUGAACUUGGGUUUCUCCUGACUCAGCCACCCAGUGUCACUGGGAUUACAGCUUGUGCCACCACACUAGUCCUACUGGUUUAAAGUGCCCCUGGUGACUGAAUUUUAUAUAUGCCAGAAGCCUGCUUAAAUAAAACCAUCUCAGAUACAUUUUCUAAAUCCAGUGGAAAUACCCUCUGUUUUUGUAUAACAAGACAAUCUUUUUUUAUCCCCUGCCCCCAGCUGGGGAUUAGAACAAGAUCCUUGCAUAUGCUGGGCUAGUACUCCACUACUUAGCUACACCCUCUCACCCCUUUUUAUUGUUUAAUUUUGAGACAGUGUCUUGCUAAGUUGCCCACCCAUACUGGCCUCACACUUGCUGUUUUCCUGCCUCAGCCUUCCAUGUAGCUGGAAUUAUUAAAUGCCACUGUGCCCAGUAUUUUUGUUUGUUUGUUUGUUUGUUUAUUAUUGGGGAUUGAACCCUGGGACACUUUACUGCUGAACCAAAUCCCCAGCCCUUUUUAUUUCUUUGACUUUGAGACAGGGUCUUACUAAGUUGCCUAGGACCUUGAACUUGGGGUCCUCCUGCCUCAGCCUUCUGAGUUUCUUGAAUUAUAGACUUGCACUCUUGGGCCCAGGUUUUUUUUUUUUUUUGGUACAGUCUUGUACUCCUGGGCUCUAGAAAACCUGCCUUACUUCUCAGUAGCCACGAGUAGAAGCACCCCUGUCCUAAAGAAUGAUUAUUUAUAAAAGAAUAUAAUUUCUUGAUUUUUCUCACAAAUUUACCUUAAUUUAGUUGAUUACUACUUUUUAGAUACAGUAUGGAAACUGACUUUAUGGUAUUAUAAGUGUAUCAAAUUAGGACUCUUGAAAUGUUAAGUAAUAUUAUCCAAAAGCUAGAUUAGAGGGAAGUGCUAUGUAAGCUUGAGAAUCUAGGGUAGUUCUUUCCUUCUUUUUUUUUUUUUUUUUUAAAAACACAUGCCUCUGAGGGACACAAAAUAAAAUGAAUUAAAUUUGUCUUUUGAUUUAAAUUGCAUUGGUUAAGAGAGCAUAAGAUUGCUAAGCAGUUUAUUUCCGUUAUAAAUACCAGCCAAUCUUAUGCUGUUAUUGGUGGCUAAUUGUUAAUCCUGAAGAUCACUUCAGUUAUGGCUGGCAUAAUUUGAUUUCUGUACAGUUUAUGAAAUCUUUAUCUCCAGGUUUAAAAAUAUAUAUUAUUUUAGUUAUUGAUGGACCUUUAUUUUAUUCAUUUACAUGGGGUGCUGAGAAUUGAACCCAGUGCCUCACGCAUACUCGGCAAACGCUCUACCACUGAGUCACAAACCCAGCCCUCUUUUGCUUUUUAUAUUACCUUUUUUGUAAAUUACAGAUUUUGUCUUUAAGGUAAAAUUAUAAUCUUAUAGAGUAGGUUUUUUUGUUUGUUUGUUUUUAUUUUUUAUUUUUAUUUUUUGUGGUUCUGAGGAUGAAACCUUGGGCCUCACACAUACUAGGCAAGUUCUCUACCACUGAGCUUCUCUAUAGACCGUUUUUUCUUAAUAUUUGAAAUUAAGUAUAUUUGGCAGUUGACAAGGAUGGGAAUAGGUAAAUGUAGGCUACAUUUUAACAUAGAUUAAGCAGUUUGUAUCAUUAAGUAACUAUUGAAGGUAAUAUAAAAUUCUACAUAUUUUGGCAUAUAUUUUUAUUUUAGGUUGAAAAAUCUAAAAUUCAUUAACAUCCAUAAGACACUAAUUUAAAAAAACUAUAAGUAAAUAGCAGAAAGAUUAAUAAAGGGAAGGGAUUGGGGGAGGGGAGGAAAAGAGAAAUUACUGGGGACUGAAUGAGAAUAUAGUCCCUGCUUUUACAAUAUAUCAAAAUGAAUCCUAUUGUUACAUAUAACUAAAAAUAACCAAUAAAAAACACAGUAAACCUCAUCUUUGAAAAUGUGUACUGCAAUUAGUAAUUUAGAAAUAAUUUGAAUUUUAAGUGAAAAAUAAUGUUAUUUUUUCUUUUUCUUUUUCUCCUUAGGUGGAAUGAACCUUACUUGUUGAAUAUCUCCUGGUUACUGGUUGGAUUCACUUAUAAAAGAAUCAUUUUCCUCUGUGUGGAAGCCACUUAGUGGCAUAGUUAAUUAUAAACCCAGGGAUUACAAAGCCUUUUGAUUUCCUGAAGGAGGGACAUACCACUAUAUCAAAUAAGCUUGACAUUAACAGCCAAAAUGGUGCUGUCCCAGAGACAACGAGAUGAACUGUAAGUUUCUUUCUUUUUCUUUUUUUUUUUUUUGUGAUGUUAAGAA
rnacentral:lncRNA from 1 species